AGGCGGCCCUAUGGGGCGAACAACAAUCCUCAACUUUUUACCCAUCAAAUUAACAAAACACCUUCAAAAGUUUAACACGUGAUUUAUUGUGAAAAAACAACAAAAUUGCAAACUAAACACAAAGCACCCACAAAACAAAUGAGAGGCAGCAGGGCAGCAGUUCCCCACCAAAUGCCUCUCCAGACUGCAGGCAGCUCUGGGCUUUUAGACUCCCAGCACCAGGUGAGUCUGAUUGGCACUCAAGUGAUUUCACCUGGGCAGCUAUGGAGAGACAAAAGGGGAAAAACACAUGCAAAACAAAAAAAAACACACAGCCGUAACACCCCCACCCUUAAAACAAUGAAUAAAUCAUUUGUACUGCAAAAAUAAACACCACAAUUGCACACCAUAAAUCCAAAAUAAUACAAACAUUUAUUCAUUGAAUUCAAGUGCAUUGUGUCAACUAUAUUAACACAAGAAACUAACUAAAUGGGUGUUGCUCACCAAGGCUGUGUGUUACAAAACACACACCACUGCACAAGCUUAAAAAAACCCUUCACUAUUUACCAAAACUGGAGACAAUCACUGCUGACAAAAAGGUGCAAAAUGGGUCGUGAGGAACACAAUCUUAAAUUAGGGCCAAGGAAGAUGCUGCAACCAAAUUCAAGCGCAUCCAUCACAAAAGCAGCCAAUUAAGUGGGUGCCACUCCCACAAAGCAAAAUGGCUACUAUCAUGAGGUUAACACAAACACAAAGAGCAAAACAUUAAAUUUGCCAAUACCACACACAGUAACAGAUAUUCAACACUAAAGGGAGUGAGCAGUCACACACACAAACGGAUCAACAAAAGUAGUAGAACUAGAACACUGCUGUCAGUCACACACAGCACACAAAGAUCCAACAAAAGGUGACUGCCACCACAACACAAAUGGACACAAGUCUUCAAAAGACACACGAAUUACUGUGAUAAGGUAAGCAACAAGCCAAACAAACGGAACAUACAAUUAGGUAUACGAAGCAGUAACACACAAGUGACCCACCAAAUGUGGACUGCAAACCACUACACAAAAUGGUCACACAGUAGUCACCACUACACAACUGUUGCCACCUUACACCUAAGAUGCAACUCACACGUGACCCACCAAAUGUGGAGAGCAGUUACCACCAACAAAUGGUCACACAACACAAGUUCCUAAUUGUAAUCGCACAGAGUGACCAAGCAAAAAAUGGGUAGCCUUCUGAAACACACACAAAAACAGUACCGUACAACAGUAGUACAAAACAAUUUUAAGAGCAAAAUGAGUCACCCCAACCCCUACCUACUUGACAAGAUGUCUGACUUACCUAACUAGUCUUCAGUGGCCUGCCGAGCUCGAGGCAUCACUUAAGUGUGCCCCCUCCUCAGGAUUACCACCAAAAAUAAGAAAGGCAAAAUAAAAAAGUGGCAAGCUCUUCCCUGCCCGGCGACUAAAUAAUCAGGGUGCUCAGAAGUUACAAAUAAAAGCAACUACUAAUGAUCGUGACAGAAACAGAAGACUAAAAACCCAAACUAUGGUCACUAGUUACGAAAGGAAAAAAAAACGACUUCAAAGAACCUCAUGGAUGUUCGAUCCUGGACAAGCCCCCAUUUGUUACGCCCCACCUGAAGGCGGCCCUAUGGGGCGAACAACAAUCCUCAACUUUUUACCCAUCAAAGUAACAAAACACCUUCAAAAGUUUAACACGUGAUUUAUUGUGAAAAAACAACAAAAUUGCAAACUAAACACAAAGCACCCACAACACAAAUGAGAGGCAGCAGGGCAGCAGUUCCCCACCAAAUGCCUCUCCAGACUGCAGGCAGCUCUGGGCUUUUAGACUUCCAGCACCAGGUGAGUCUGAUUGGCACUCAAGUGAUUUCACCUGGGCAGCUAUGGAGAGACAAAAGGGGAAAAACACAUGCAAAACAAACACACAGCCG